CGGAACACGUACGCAACCUUCCUUUAACUGGAGAAUAGCCCCUCGAAAGAGGGAUUAAUACUCCGUAACAUAAUGAUGAGGCAUCUCAUUAUUAUUAUAGCUCCGGCGGUUAAAGAUGGGCGUGCGACUGAUUAGAUAGUUGGCGGGGUAACGGCCCACCAAGUCUGCGAUCAGUAACUGGUGUGAGAGCACGACCAGUCACACGGGCACUGAGACACGGGCCCG
rnacentral:rRNA from 1 species